rnacentral:rRNA from 1 species
AUUACUGAGUGAGGGCCCCUCGGGGUCCAACCUCCCACCCGUGUUUAACGUACCUUGUUGCUUCGGCGGGCCCGCCUCACGGCCGCCGGGGGGCAUCCGCCCCCGGGCCCGCGCCCGCCGAAGCCACCUGUGAACGCUGUCUGAAGUAUGCAGUCUGAGACAAUUAUUAAAUUAAUUAAAACUUUCAACAACGGAUCUCUUGGUUCCGGCAUCGAUGAAGAACGCAGCGAAAUGCGAUAACUAAUGUGAAUUGCAGAAUUCAGUGAAUCAUCGAGUCUUUGAACGCACAUUGCGCCCUCUGGUAUUCCGGAGGGCAUGCCUGUCCGAGCGUCAUUGCUGCCCUCCAGCCCGGCUGGUGUGUUGGGCCCCGCCCCCCUUCCCGGGGGGGCGGGCCCGAAAGGCAGCGGCGGCACCGCGUCCGGUCCUCGAGCGUAUGGGGCUUUGUCACCCGCUCUUGCAGGCCCGGCCGGCGCCAGCCGACCCCCUCAAUCUAUUUUUUCAGGUUGACCUCGGAUCAGGUAGGGAUACCCGCUGAACUUAAGCAUAUCAAUAAGCGGAGGAAAAGAAACCAACCGGGAUUGCCCUAGUAACGGCGAGUGAAGCGGCAAGAGCUCAAAUUUGAAAGCUGGCUCCUUCGGGGUCCGCAUUGUAAUUUGCAGAGGAUGCUUCGGGAGCGGUCCCCAUCUAAGUGCCCUGGAACGGGCCGUCAUAGAGGGUGAGAAUCCCGUAUGGGAUGGGGUGCCCGCGCCCGUGUGAAGCUCCUUC